rnacentral:rRNA from 1 species
GACGAACGCUGGCGGCGUGCUUAACACAUGCAAGUCGAACGGAAAGGCCCUGCUUUUGUGGGGUUCUCGAGUGGCGAACGGGUGAGUAACACGGGAGUAACCUGCCCUUGACUUUGGGAUAACUUCAGGAAACUGGGGCUAAUACCGGAUAGGAGCUCCUGCUGCAUGGUGGUGGUUGGAAAGUUUCGGCGGUUGGGGAUGGACUCGCGGCUUACCAGCUUGUUGGUGGGGUAGUUGCUUACCAAGGCUUUGACGGGUAGCCGGCCUGGGAGGGUGAACGGCGACAAUAGGACUGAGGUACGGAGCAGACGGCAACGGGAGGCAGUGGUGGGAAAUAUUGCCCAACGGGCGCACGCGUGAUGCAGCAGUGCCGCGUGCGGGAUGCCGGCCUUCGGGUUGUAAACCGCUUUCGCCUGUGACGAAGCGUGAGUGACGGUAAUGAGUAAAGAAGCACCGGCUAACUACGUG